CAGAGUUCAUGCCCUUACGGGUAGAUCUCCUACCCUUGAAUACUAUACCUUUGUUGCUUUAGCGGGCCGCCUCGGCUGCCGGCUUCGGCUAGUAAGUGCUCGCUAGAGGACCCCUAAACUCUGAAUGUUAAUGUCGUCUAAGUACUAUAUAAUAGUUA
rnacentral:misc_RNA from 1 species